AUCCAGCUGACGAGUCCCAAGUAGAAUGAAACGCGCGUCCUGGAU
rnacentral:hammerhead_ribozyme from 1 species